UACGAAGGGUGCGAGCGUUAUUCGGAUUGAUUGGGCGUAAAGGGUGCGUAGGCGGUAUGUUAAGUCAACUGUUAAAUUUCCCGGCUUAACUGGGAGCCAGCGGUAGAUACUGACGUGCUUGAGGAUGAGAGAGAGAGGCGGAAUUCUCGGAGUAGCGGUAAAAUGCGUAGAUCUCGAGAGGAACACCGAUGGCGAAGGCAGCCUCUUGGCUCAUUUCUGACGCUGAGGCACGAAAGCGUGGGGAGCAAACAGG
rnacentral:rRNA from 1 species